UACGUAGGGGGCUAGCGUUGUCCGGAUUUAUUGGGCGUAAAGAGCGUGUAGGCGGCUCGGUAAGUCCGCUGUAAAAGUCAAAGGCUCAACCUUUGAAUGUCAGUGGAUACUGCCGGGCUAGAGUCCGGAAGAGGCGAGUGGAACUCCUGGUGUAGCGGUGGAAUGCGCAGAUAUCAGGAAGAACACCAACGGCGAAGGCAGCUCGCUGGGACGGUACUGACGCUGAGACACGAAAGCCAGGGGAGCAAAACGGGG
rnacentral:rRNA from 1 species